UCUCCUCUGUUCUAAGACUUGCAAGGUGAAGUGGUGGAUGGGAAAUAAUUUCAAAGGAAUGGAACCCUGGGAAUGCAGUCUGCACAGGGGUACUGCAGACGCCCAUUUUAAUUAUUGAUUCGAAAGCCUGUCACUAGGGAGUAGGGGAGGUUUUUUUUUAUUAUUUAUUAUUUUUUCAUUGCACACUUCCUAUGCACGGUGAUCAGUACUUGGAAGCCCCGUACUGUUUAACCCUUACCAUCCUAUGGAUUGUGCUCCGGAUCCUUUUCUAACUGGUCCUCUGCGAGAUUGAAGAAUUAAUCCGGCACCAAGCUGCCUCCGGUCGCUGGUGUUUCUCAGCCGCAUGCCUGGCAGAGGUUGUUCAGAAACAGUUUCUCGGUGCUGCUCCUGAACGAUGCGGAGCAUCUGCAGUGUGCCGUGCUGGCGUGAGUGCCGAGAAUACUAAGUUGGUUAGCCAUCCUUCCCAACUCGGAGAAAGACAAAAAUGUCUAAGCAGGGAGACAGACUCCUCCUGCGACAAUAACACCAAGUGAGAUGGCCAUGAUGCAAGGACAGCUGGAGCCAGAUUACAGUCCAUCACUGAGGGAAGCCAAAACAGGAACCCGAAGACUGAAGCAGAGAUGAUGGGAUUUCUGGCCUGCACUCUUUGGAUCAUGUCCAGCUAUCUUCUUAAUACCUUCCAGGACUGCCUGUCCAGGGGUGGCCACACCCACAGUGGGCUGGGCCCUCCUACAUCAUCCAACAGUCUAAGAAAAAACCACACAGACAUGUUUACAGGCCAGGCUGAUGGAGGUGUCUCCUCGUUAAGGUCUUCUCUCUUCAGGUUGUACAGUGAUUUUUGUAAUGGUGUGUGUGUGUGUGUGUGUGUGUGUGUGUGUGUGUGUGUGUGUGUGUGUGUUGCAUAUGUAUAUGCAUGCUCACAUGUGUGUGUAGGUGCAUGUACAUCUAUCUGUGUGGGGGCCUGACGUUAACAUCCAGUGUCUUCCUUGACCACCCUUUUUUUUUUUUCAUUUUUAA